rnacentral:rRNA from 1 species
GAGUUUGAUCCUGGCUCAGAACGUACGCUGGCGGCACGCCUUAUACAUGCAAGUCGAACGAAGUAGCAAUACUUAGUGGCCGACGUGGUGAGUAACAUGUGGGUAUCUUCCCUUUGUGUGAGGAAUAACACGAGGAAACUUGCUGCUACAUACCUCACUAAGUCUUUACGGAGAAAGCUUUAUGCGCCAAUGGAUGAGCCCGCACUAUGACUUAGUUUGUUGGUGGGGUAACUGGCCUACCAAGACUUUGAUCAAUAGCUGAUUUGAGAGGAUGAUCAGCCACAUUGGGACUGAUACACGGCCCAAACUCCUACGGGAGGCAGCAGUAAGGAAUCUUGCACAAUGGAGGAAACUCUGAUGCAGCGAUGCCGCGUGAGUGAAGAAGGCCCUUGGGUUGUAAAGCUCUUUCGUCGGGGAAGAAAAUGACUGUACCCGAAUAAGAAGGUCCGGCUAACUUCGUGCCAGCAGCCGCGGUAAUACGAAGGGACCUAGCGUAGUACGGAAUUACUGGGCUUAAAGAGUUCGUAGGUGGUUGAAAAAGAUGGUGGUGAAAGCCCAGAGCUUAACUCUGGAACUGCCAUCAUAA